UCGAGUGGCGAACGGGUGAGUAACACGUGGGUGAUCUGCCCUGCACUUUGGGAUAAGCCUGGGAAACUGGGUCUAAUACCGAAUACACCCUUCUGGCUGCAUGGUCUGGUUGGGGAAAGCUUUUGCGGUGUGGGAUGGGCCCGCGGCCUAUCAGCUUGUUGGUGAGGUUACGGCUCACCAAGGCGACGACGGGUAGCCGGCCUGAGAGGGUGACCGGCCACACUGGGACUGAGAUACGGCCCAGACUCCUACGGGAGGCAGCAGUGGGGAAUAUUGCACAAUGGGCGCAAGCCUGAUGCAGCGACGCCGCGUGAGGGAUGACGGCCUUCGGGUUGUAAACCUCUUUCGCCAGGGACGAAGCGCAAGUGACGGUACCUGGAGAAGAAGGACCGGCCAACUACGUGCCAGCAGCCGCGGUAAUACGUAGGGUCCGAGCGUUGUCCGGAAUUACUGGGCGUAAAGAGCUCGUAGGUGGUUUGUCGCGUUGUUCGUGAAAACUCACAGCUCAACUGUGGGCGUGCGGGCGAUACGGGCAGACUGGAGUACUGCAGGGGAGACUGGAAUUCCUGGUGUAGCGGUGGAAUGCGCAGAUAUCAGGAGGAACACCGGUGGCGAAGGCGGGUCUCUUCUCUGGGCAGUAACUGACGCUGAGGAGCGAAAGCGUGGGGAGCGAACAGGAUUAGAUACCCUGGUAGUCCACGCCGUAAACGGUGGGUACUAGGUGUGGGUUUCCUUCCUUGGGAUCCGUGCCGUAGCUAACGCAUUAAGUACCCCGCCUGGGGAGUACGGCCGCAAGGCUAAAACUCAAAGAAAUUGACGGGGGCCCGCACAAGCGGCGGAGCAUGUGGAUUAAUUCGAUGCAACGCGAAGAACCUUACCUGGGUUUGACAUGCACAGGACGUGCCUAGAGAUAGGUAUUCCCUUGUGGCCUGUGUGCAGGUGGUGCAUGGCUGUCGUCAGCUCGUGUCGUGAGAUGUUGGGUUAAGUCCCGCAACGAGCGCAACCCUUAUCUUAUGUUGCCAGCGCGUAAUGGCGGGGACUCGUGAGAGACUGCCGGGGUCAACUCGGAGGAAGGUGGGGAUGACGUCAAGUCAUCAUGCCCCUUAUGUCCAGGGCUUCACACAUGCUACAAUGGCCGGUACAAAGGGCUGCGAUGCCGUGAGGUGGAGCGAAUCCUUUCAAAGCCGGUCUCAGUUCGGAUCGGGGUCUGCAACUCGACCCCGUGAAGUCGGAGUCGCUAGUAAUCGCAGAUCAGCAACGCUGCGGUGAAUACGUUCCCGGGCCUUGUACACACCGCCCGUCACGUCAUGAAAGUCGGUAACACCCG
rnacentral:rRNA from 1 species